rnacentral:rRNA from 1 species
UGGGGAAUAUUGCACAAUGGGCGCAAGCCUGAUGCAGCGACGCCGCGUGAGGGAUGACGGCCUUCGGGUUGUAAACCUCUUUCAGCAGGGACGAAGCGCAAGUGACGGUACCUGCAGAAGAAGCACCGGCCAACUACGUGCCAGCAGCCGCGGUAAUACGUAGGGUGCGAGCGUUGUCCGGAAUUACUGGGCGUAAAGAGCUCGCAGGCGGUUUGUCGCGUCGUCUGUGAAAUCCCGCAGCUCAACUGCGGGCUUGCAGGCGAUACGGGCAGACUCGAGUACUGCAGGGGAGACUAGACUUCCUGGUGUAGCGGUGAAAUGCGCAGAUAUCAGGAGGGACACCGGUGGCGAAGGAGGGUCUCUGGGCAGUAACUGUCGCUGAGGAGCGAAAGCGUGGGUAGCGAACAGG